rnacentral:lncRNA from 1 species
CAAUCUUGAAGAAGGAGACAGGGAUUGAAAGAUCAGGCAUUGAAAACACAAGAACAAUUUAGAAAUUGAUCUGCAACUGAUGGAAGCUGGGAUGAAUUGGGCGCAUAAGUGAACCCAAAGCAUCAGAGCAAAGUCAAAGCGAACAUCUGGCUCCAGCUUUGAGUACAAGAAAGGAAGGAAGAAAGAACAUGCUGGAAGCAGAGCAAAGAAGAGAGACUUGUGUUUCCAUGGAAUAAUCUUGGGAU